GCCGGAGUGGUGAAACUGGUAGACGCAGAGGACUCAAAAUCCUCCGGGGUAUAUCCUCAUGCGGGUUCAAUUCCCGCCUCCGGCACCA
rnacentral:tRNA from 1 species